UACGUAGGUGGCGAGCGUUAUCCGGAUUUAUUGGGUUUAAAGGGUGCGUAGGCGGAAUAUCAAGUCAGCGGUAAAAAUUCGGGGCUCAACCCCGUCGUGCCGUUGAAACUGAUGUUCUUGAGUGGGCGAGAAGUAUGCGGAAUGCGUGGUGUAGCGGUGAAAUGCAUAGAUAUCACGCAGAACUCCGAUUGCGAAGGCAGCAUACCGGCGCCCAACUGACGCUGAAGCACGAAAGCGUGGGUAUCGAACAGG
rnacentral:rRNA from 1 species